rnacentral:rRNA from 1 species
GAUGAACGCUGGCGGCGUGCCUAAUACAUGCAAGUCGAGCGAACGGACGAGAAGCUUGCUUCUCUGAUGUUAGCGGCGGACGGGUGAGUAACACGUGGAUAACCUACCUAUAAGACUGGGAUAACUUCGGGAAACCGGAGCUAAUACCGGAUGAUAUUUUGAACCGCAUGGUUCAAAAGUGAAAGACGGUCUUGCUGUCACUUAUAGAUGGAUCCGCGCUGCAUUAGCUAGUUGGUAAGGUAACGGCUUACCAAGGCAACGAUGUAUAGCCGACCUGAGAGGGUGAUCGGCCACACUGGAACUGAGACACGGUCCAGACUCCUACGGGAGGCAGCAGUAGGGAAUCUUCCGCAAUGGGCGAAAGCCUGACGGAGCAACGCCGCGUGAGUGAUGAAGGUCUUCGGAUCGUAAAACUCUGUUAUUAGGGAAGAACAUAUGUGUAAGUAACUGUGCACAUCUUGACGGUACCUAAUCAGAAAGCCACGGCUAACUACGUG